AGAAUCAACGCUGGCGGCGUGCCUAACACAUGCAAGUCGAACGGGAAAGUGGAGCAAUCCAUGAGUAUAGUGGCGACCGGGUGAGUAACACGUGACUAACCUACCCUUGAGUGGGGGAUAACCUCGGGAAAACCGGGGCUAAUACCGCAUAAAAUCUUCGGGAUGAGAAGCUGGAGAUCAAAGGAGCAAUUCGCUUUUGGAGGGGGUCGCGGCUGAUUAGCUAGUUGGCGGGUAACGCCCACCAAGGCUUUGAUCGGUAUCCGGCCUGAGAGGGCGCACGGACACACUGGAACUGAAACACGGUCCAGACUCCUACGGGAGGCAGCAGUGGGGAAUUUUGCGCAAUGGGGGAAACCCUGACGCAGCAACGCCGCGUGGAGGAUGAAGUCCCUUGGGACGUAAACUCCUUUCGACCGGGAAGAUGAUGACGGUACCGGUGGAAGAAGCCCCGGCAACUUCGCGCCAGCAGCCGC
rnacentral:rRNA from 1 species